rnacentral:tRNA from 1 species
UGGGAUAUGGUGUAAUUGGCAACACAACAGAUUCUGGUCCUGUUAUUCUAGGUUCGAGCCCUGGUAUCCCAACCA